rnacentral:rRNA from 1 species
AUUGAACGCUGGCGGCAUGCCUUACACAUGCAAGUCGAACGGCAGCACGGGAGCAAUCCUGGUGGCGAGUGGCGAACGGGUGAGUAAUAUAUCGGAACGUGCCCAGUCGUGGGGGAUAACGCAGCGAAAGCUGUGCUAAUACCGCAUACGAUCUAAGGAUGAAAGCGGGGGAUCGCAAGACCUCGCGCGCUUGGAGCGGCCGAUAUCAGAUUAGCUAGUUGGUGGGGUCAAGGCCCACCAAGGCGACGAUCUGUAGCUGGUCUGAGAGGACGACCAGCCACACUGGAACGGAGACACGGUCCAGACUCCUACGGGAGGCGGCAGUGGGGAAUUUUGGACAAUGGGCGCAAGCCUGAUCCAGCAAUGCCGCGUGCAGGAUGAAGGCCUUCGGGUUGUAAACUGCUUUUGUACGGAACGAAACAGCCCUUUCUAAUGCAGGGGACUAAUGACGGUACCGUAAGAAUAAGCACCGGCUAACUACGUGCCAGCCGCCGCCGUAACAC